GGACCUUGCGUUAUUGGAGCGGCCGACGUCUGAUUAGCUAGUUGGUGAGGUAAAGGCUCACCAAGGCGACGAUCAGUAGCUGGUCUGAGAGGAUGAUCAACCACACUGGAACUGAGACACGGUCCAGACUCCUACGGGAGGCAGCAGUGGGGAAUUUUGGACAAUGGGCGCAAGCCUGAUCCAGCCAUUCCGCGUGAGUGAAGAAGGCCUUCGGGUUGUAAAGCUCUUUCGGCAGGGAAGAAACAGUUGAGGCUAAUACCCUUGACCAAUGACGGUACCUGCAUAAGAAGCACCGGCUAACUACGUGCCAGCAGCCGCGGUAAUACGUAGGGUGCGAGCGUUAAUCGGAAUUACUGGGCGUAAAGCGUGCGCAGGCGGUUUUUCAAGUCUGAUGUGAAAGCCCCGGGCUUAACCCUGGGAACUGCGUUGGAAACUGAAAGACUAGAGUGCGGCAGAGGGGGGUAGAAUUCCACGUGUAGCAGUGAAAUGCNUNGNUAUGUGGAGGAAUACCGAUGGCGAAGGCAGCCCCCUGGGUCGACACUGACGCUCAUGCACGAAAGCGUGGGGUAGCAAACAGGAUUAGAUACCCUGGUAGUCCACGCCCUAAACGAUGUCAACUAGUUGUUGGGGAGGGAGACCUCCUUAGUAACGCAGCUAACGCGUGAAGUUGACCGCCUGGGGAGUACGGUCGCAAGAUUAAAACUCAAAGGAAUUGACGGGGACCCGCACAAGCGGUGGAUGAUGUGGAUUAAUUCGAUGCAACGCGAAAAACCUUACCUACCCUUGACAUGUCCAGAACCCUGCAGAGAUGCGGGGGUGCCCGAAAGGGAAUUGGAACACAGGUGCUGCAUGGCUGUCGUCAGCUCGUGUCGUGAGAUGUUGGGUUAAGUCCCGCAACGAGCGCAACCCUUAUCAUUAGUUGCUACGCAAGGGCACUCUAAUGAGACUGCCGGUGACAAACCGGAGGAAGGUGGGGAUGACGUCAAGUCCUCAUGGCCCUUAUGGGUAGGGCUUCACACGUAAUACAAUGGCGUGUACAGAGGGUUGCCAACCCGCGAGGGGGAGCCAAUCUCAGAAAGCACGUCGUAGUCCGGAUCGGAGUCUGCAACUCGACUCCGUGAAGUCGGAAUCGCUAGUAAUCGCGGAUCAGCAUGCCGCGGUGAAUACGUUCCCGGGUCU
rnacentral:rRNA from 1 species